rnacentral:tRNA from 1 species
GCCGAUGUAGCUCAGUUGGCAGAGCAACCGCCUUGUAAGCGGUAGGUCAUGGGUUCGAAUCCCAUCAUCGGCU